AUUGAACGCUGGCGGCAGGCUUAACACAUGCAAGUCGAGCGGAGAUGAGGUGCUUGCACCUUAUCUUAGCGGCGGACGGGUGAGUAAUGCUUAGGAAUCUGCCUAUUAGUGGGGGACAACAUUCCGAAAGGAAUGCUAAUACCGCAUACGUCCUACGGGAGAAAGCAGGGGAUCUUCGGACCUUGCGCUAAUAGAUGAGCCUAAGUCUGAUUAGCUAGUUGGUGGGGUAAAGGCCUACCAAGGCGACGAUCUGUAGCGGGUCUGAGAGGAUGAUCCGCCACACGGGUACUUGAACACGGCCCAGACGCCUACGGGAGGCAGCAGUGGGGAAUAUUGGACAAUGGGGGAAACCCUGAUCCAGCCAUGCCGCGUGUGUGAAGAAGGCCUUUUGGUUGUAAAGCACUUUAAGCGAGGAGGAGGCUACUGAGACUAAUACUCUUGGAUAGUGGACGUUACUCGCAGAAUAAGCACCGGCUAACUCUGUGCCAGCAGCCGCCGUAA
rnacentral:rRNA from 1 species